GAUGAACGCUGGCGGCGUGCCUAAUACAUGCAAGUCGAGCGGACAGACGAUAAGCUUGCUCUUUUGCCGUUAGCGGCUGGCGGGUGAGUAACACGUGGAUCACCUACUUCUAUUACGGGGAUGAUUUCGGGAAACCGGAUCUACUACCAUAGGAUAUAUUGUACCGCAUGGUUCACUAGUGAUAGACGGCUUUGGUGUCUCUACUAGCUGGUUCCGCGCUGCAUUAGCUAGUUGGUAAGGUAACGGCUUACCAAGGCAACGAUGCGUAGCCGACCUGAGAGGGUGAUCGGCCACACUGGAACUGAGACACGGUCCAGACUCCUACGGGAGGCAGCAGUAGGGAAUCUUGGGCAAUGGGCGAAAGCCUGACGGAGCAAUGCCGCGUGAGUGAUGAAGGCCUUCGGAUCGUAAAACCCUGUUAUUAGGGAAGAACAGCAGUGGAAGUAUACAUGGACGUCUUGACGGUACCUAAUCAGAAAGCACCGGCUAACUACGUG
rnacentral:rRNA from 1 species